rnacentral:rRNA from 1 species
AGUGAACGCUGGCGGUAGGCCUAACACAUGCAAGUCGAACGGCAGCACAGUAAGAGCUUGCUCUUACGGGUGGCGAGUGGCGGACGGGUGAGGAAUACAUCGGAAUCUACUUUUUCGUGGGGGAUAACGUAGGGAAACUUACGCUAAUACCGCAUACGACCUACGGGUGAAAGCAGGGGAUCUUCGGACCUUGCGCGAUUGAAUGAGCCGAUGUCGGAUUAGCUAGUUGGCGGGGUAAAGGCCCACCAAGGCGACGAUCCGUAGCUGGUCUGAGAGGAUGAUGAGCCAGACUGGAACUGAGAAACGGUCCAGACUCCUACGGGAGGCAGCAGUGGGGAGUAUUGGACAAUGGGCGCAAGAUUGAUCCAGCCAUACCGCGUGGGUGAAGAAGGCCUUCGGGUUGUACAGCUCUUUUGUUGGGAAAGAAAAGCAGCAGGUGAAUACCCCGCUGUUCUGACGGUACCCAAAGAAUAAGCACCGGCUAACUUCGUG